GGGCGCAUAGCUCAGCGGAAGUAGCGCCUGCUUCACACGCAGGAGGUCGCUGGUUCAAAUCCAGCUGCGCCCACCA
rnacentral:tRNA from 1 species